AGUAAUAUUCCUAUUUAGUUUUGGAUUUUUUUUAUAUUAAGCUUUUAGUUUUGGAUUUUUUAUAUUACAAUGUGUUUUAGAAGGUUAAAGAACCUUCAAUUGUUGUAUCCUGCAGCUGUGUAUUUUUUUUCAAGUGUUAGAAGUCUUAUAUUAUAUUUGAAUGUACUCUUAUCUUCAAUUAAAGAAUCUCCGAUGUCAAAUUUUGUUUUUAAGAAUUUUCUUCUUUUCAAGAGACUACCGCUCAGACACUUGAUGAGUUCCUUG
rnacentral:lncRNA from 1 species